GCAUGAUUGACACAAUGAGACAAAUGCUUCAGGAGACGGGUCAAUAUUUCAAAACACUAAUUGAAACACUUACUUCAUAACACAAAUCAAUUUUUCAAAA